GGGGGUGUUCUUGGAUUCGACGGGGAUAGUUUGAGCGCGGGUUGCGGGUAGUGGGGCCGCGUCCACUAUAAAACGCUAAAGCCUAUUAAAUGGCAAAACACAAAACAACUACGCUUUAGCAGCUUAAUAACCUGUUAGCGUGCUUCUACUCAGCAUCGCCCAUGUGACUGGGAUAGGGGCUCAACUAUAGUGGGAUACGACGUUCGGUCUCCGCCUGGGGUCGACGUAAGAAGAUAAUCAGGCUGACCCAACGCAUAGCCGGUUACGGGGCGAUGCUCGGGUGACAUCAAAACUGUGACUACACCCGUAGAUGCCUGUGUGGCAAUAUUUUCGGACAGGGGUUCGACUCCCCUCACCUCCAUAC
rfam:Paenibacillus pectinilyticus strain KCTC13222 scaffold13, whole genome shotgun sequence.